rnacentral:rRNA from 1 species
UGGGGAAUUUUGGACAAUGGGGGAAACCCUGAUCCAGCCAUCCCGCGUGUGCGAUGAAGGCCUUCGGGUUGUAAAGCACGUUUGGCAGGAAAGAAACGUCAUGGGUUAAUACCCCGUGAAACUGACGGUACCUGCAGAAUAAGCACCGGCUAACUACGUGCCAGCAGCCGCGGUAAUACGUAGGGUGCAAGCGUUAAUCGGAAUUACUGGGCGUAAAGCGUGCGCAGGCGGUUCGGAAAGAAAGAUGUGAAAUCCCAGAGCUCAACUUUGGAACUGCAUUUUGAACUACCGGGCUAGAGUGUGUCAGAGGGAGGUGGAAUUGCGCGUGUAGCAGUGAAAUGCGUAGAUAUGCGGAGGAACACCGAUGGCGAAGGCAGCCUCCUGGGAUAACACUGACGCUCAUGCACGAAAGCGUGGGGAGCAAACAGG